ACGGAGGUUGCAAGCGUUGUUCGGAAUUACUGGGCGUAAAGGGAGCGCAGGCGGUUGGGUAAGUCUGAAGUGGAAGCCCGGGGCUCAACCCCGGAAGUGCUUUGGAUACUGCCUGACUUGAGUACGCGAGAGGAAAGCGGAAUUCCAGGUGUAGCGGUGAAAUGCGUAGAUAUCUGGAGGAACACCGGUGGCGAAAGCGGCUUUCUGGCGCGUUACUGACGCUGAGGCUCGAAAGCGUGGGGAGCAAACGG
rnacentral:rRNA from 1 species